rnacentral:pre_miRNA from 1 species
AGUGGGAUAACUGGAUCAGAUGGUGGUUCCAUUCCAAUUUUCUGAGGAAUUUCCAUACUGCUUUCCAGAGUGGUUGUACCAGUUUGCAGUCCCACUAGCAAA